AGCGAACGCUGGCGGCAGGCCUAACACAUGCAAGUCGAACGAACCUUUCGGGGUUAGUGGCGGACGGGUGAGUAACACGUGGGAACGUGCCUUUAGGUUCGGAAUAACUCAGGGAAACUUGUGCUAAUACCGAAUGUGCCCUUCGGGGGAAAGAUUUAUCGCCUUUAGAGCGGCCCGCGUCUGAUUAGCUAGUUGGUUGAGGUAAUGGCUCACCAAGGCGACGAUCAGUAGCUGGUCUGAGAGGAUGAUCAGCCACAUUGGGACUGAGACACGGCCCAAACUCCGAGGGGAGGAAGCAGGGGGGAUUCUUGCAAAAGGGGGAAAGGCCGGACGCACCCAGGCCGGGGGAAGAAAAAGGGUUUAAGGAUGAAAAAUUUUUUCCCCGGGGGAGGAUAAGGACGGCCCCCGGAAAAAAGCCCCCGGCAAAUUUGGUC
rnacentral:rRNA from 1 species